rnacentral:rRNA from 1 species
CAUCACUACGCUAGAUGCAUAUCAAUAAGCGGAGGAAAAGAAACUAACAAGGAUUCCCCUAGUAACGGCGAGUGAAGCGGGAAGAGCUCAAAUUUGAAAUCUUAAAGGGUUUCCCUUUACGAAUUGUAGUUUAAAGAAGUGUUUUCUGUUGGAGUUUCGGUAAAAGUUCUUUGGAAUAGGACAUCAUAGAGGGUGAGAAUCCCGUAUUUGACCGUUACUUUCCAGCUGUGUGAUACACUUUCAAAGAGUCGGAUCGUUUGGGAAUGCAGUCCAAGAUGGGUGGUAAAUUUCAUCUAAAGCUAAAUAUUGGCGAGAGACCGAUAGCGAACAAGUACCGUGAGGGAAAGAUGAAAAGAACUUUGAAAAGAGAGUUAAACAGUACGUGAAAUUGUCAAAAGGGAAGCGUUUGACACCAGUGUUGUUUAGUUGAAAAUCAAUUCAAUAAUUUUUGAUUCUAAGUAGUAUUGACUUCAUCAGCUUGCUGCUUUCUUUCUCAGAAAUUAUUUAAUGCACUUUUCAGUUAACAAGUCAACAUCAAUUUCUUUUGUUGUAAAAGGGUAAGAGGAAGGUGGCUUGCGCUUCGGCUCAAGUGUUUAUAGCCUUUUAUCCUCUGCAAUCGGAGAGAUUGAGGUCUGCAGCGUAGAUCCUUCGGGGUUAGAUACAUUGUGCUAAGCUAUAGCCUUGUAUAGACAACUUGUUGACUAUGCUCAGUCAUGUAGCUUACUCGCUUAUGCUAUUUUACCUACGCUUAGGAUGUUGAUAGUCACAGCGUGUAC